GAGUUUGAUCCUGGCUCAGGAUGAACGCUGGCGGCAGGCCUAACACAUGCAAGUCGAGGGGUAACAGAAAAGCUUGCUUUUGCUGACGACCGGCGCACGGGUGCGUAACGCGUAUGCAACCUACCUCAUACUGGAGGAUAGCCCCUGGAAACGGGGAUUAAUACUCCAUAGUAUCACAAUUUCGCAUGUUAUUGUGAUUAAAGUUUUUCGGUAUGAGAUGGGCAUGCGUCCCAUUAGCUUGUUGGUGAGCCGUUACCUCACCAAGGCAACGAUGGGUAGGGGGCCUGAGAGGGUGGUCCCCCACACUGGUACUGAGACACGGACCAGACUCCUACGGGAGGCAGCAGUGAGGAAUAUUGGUCAAUGGAGGAAACUCUGAACCAGCCAUGCCGCGUGAAGGAUGACGGCCCUAUGGGUUGUAAACUUCUUUUAUAGAGGAAGAAACUUGUCUACGUGUAGACAACUGACGGUACUCUACGAAUAAGGAUCGGCUAACUCCGUGCCAGCAGCCGCGGUAAUACGGAGGAUCCAAGCGUUAUCCGGAUUCAUUGGGUUUAAAGGGUCCGUAGCGGAUUUUUAAGUCAGUGGUGAAAGCCGACAACUCAACUGUCGAACUGCCAUUGAUACUGGAAAUCUUGAGUACAAAUGAUGUAGGCGGAAUGAGUCAUGUAGCGGUGAAAUGCAUAGAUAUGACUCAGAACACCGAUUGCGAAGGCAGCUUACUAACAUGUAACUGACGCUGAGGGACGAAAGCGUGGGGAGCGAACAGGAUUAGAUACCCUGGUAGUCCACGCCGUAAACGAUCAUCACUCGCUGUUGGCGAUAUACUGUCAGCGGCCAAGCGAAAGUAUUAAGUGAUGCACCUGGGGAGUACGCCGGCAACGGUGAACUCAAAGGAAUUGACGGGGGCCCGCACAAGCGGUGGAGCAUGUGGGUUUAAUUCGAUGAUACGCGAGGAACCUUACCA
rnacentral:rRNA from 1 species